CCUACGGGUGGCAGCAGUGAGGAAUAUUGGUCAAUGGCCGAGAGGCUGAACCAGCCAAGUCGCGUGAGGGAUGACGGCCCUACGGGUUGUAAACCUCUUAUGGCGGGGAGCAAAGCGAGUCCCGGGUGGCUCAUUGAGAGUACCCGAAGAAAAAGCAUAGGCUAACUCAGUGCCAGCAGCCGCGGAAAUACGGAGUAUGCGAGCGUUAUCCGGAUUGAUUGGGUGUAAAGGGUGCGCAGUCGUCGGUGCAAGUCAGUGGUCAAAUGGCGGAGCUCAACCCCGUACUGCCGUUGACACUGCAUCCCUUGAGUGCGCGAGAAGUAUGCGGAAUGCGUGGUGUAGCGGUGAAAUGCAUCGAUAUCACGCAGAACUCCGAGUGCGAAGGCAGCAUACCGGCGCCCAACUGACGCUGAAGCACGAAAGCGUGGGUAUCGAACAGGAUUAGAUACACGAGUAGUC
rnacentral:rRNA from 1 species